rfam:Vibrio sinaloensis strain T08 Contig1, whole genome shotgun sequence.
CGUGUGGUGUCCGGCUAAGAUUCGGAUAGCGACACGGCCUAUAUUAGAGGU